rnacentral:rRNA from 1 species
CACGUAGGGUGCGAGCGUUGUCCGGAAUUAUUGGGCGUAAAGAGCUCGUAGGCGGUGUGUCGCGUCGGCCGUGAAAACCUGCAGCUUAACUGUGGGCUUGCGGUCGAUACGGGGCAUCACUGGAGUUCGGCAGGGGAGACUGGAAUUCCAGGUGUAGCGGUGAAAUGCGUAGAUAUCUGGAGGAACACCGGUGGCGAAGGCGGCAUCCUGGACCGGCAUUGACGCUGAGGCGUGAAAGCCAGGGGAGCAAACGGG